CAGGAGGAGAGGAGAGCGGAGAUAGAGAAGCGGGGCAGGAGGGGGAGAUAUACAUGGAAGACAUGAAUCCGUCCGCAUGUGUGUGUUUGUGUAAAUGUAAAAAAUGGAUGCAUCCUCCACCUCCUGCUGCAUCAGGACGGUGGGGGCGCCGCGCGUUUUCUCACCCCGGUUUGAGUGCACCAGAUCUGUCACUGCGCGGGGGGUGGAGAGAAUGUCACGGAGGAGGUAUGUCUUUCUUCAUCGUAUCCAUCCACAUGGUAUUUUAAUUGGGGUUUCUUUUCACCGGGAAAAAAAAAGAGGGAGAACACAGGUGAGAGAGAGGGGGGGGGGGGCUGCUCUGGGUUUCCAUCCUCACCUCCUCAGCUAUGCGGCCCUCGCGGUAACCACACACACACACACACACACACACACACACACGGGCCAGUUAGCCCUGAGUGGCAUUGUGCGGUGCCGCAUGUGUUUGUAUUGAACCCCGCCGCACAAUGGCGCAGCUGACAUUCCUUGUGCGUUGGAUAAGCCGGCUUCAUAGAAACAUAACAACACGGCUAAAACCCGAAGCGUCUCCCAGAGACUGUCAACACCGCCUCGGCCGCGGAGACGCUGAUUGAGCCUGGGAAAUAGGACAGAGGAUUUCUGCAGAGAGGCUGCGGCCGUGUGUGUGUGUGUGUGUGUGUGGUUAAUACAGUAUAUGUUUGUGUAUCAAUAUGUGAGCGAGCGUGCAUGUGCAUGAGCAUGUGUGCGUGCGUUGUAUGUUGAUGGUUGAUGUACAGGUCUGGAGGGCAAACGCUCCAGGCUGCUCUCGUUAAGAACCUGUCAGUCAUCGGCAGAGAGGAACCAAAAGGAGUCCAAAUCGCAACACUGAGCCGCCGUGUAUGUGUGUGUACACGUGUUUGUGUGUGUGUGUGUAGAAAAUGCAUUCAGCCACUUGGCUACUACCAAAAAAAAAAAAAUCACGCCAGGAGAAAGGGGGAACGAGGCGGUGGCGGAACGUGAAGCCACACUGCCCUCCAGUGGUUCUGGGUCGCAUCACCGCCGCAGCGGCGCCUUGUGAAAGCGGAGACUUUGGUGAUUGAGUAAAACGAGGAACUAGUUCACCGCGCAGAGUUGAGUAAUUAGAAGAAAUGAAAGGGUUUAGAGUUUUUUCUUCUUUUGCGUUAUCAUGUGCGACAUCACAGUGUAAGAGCACGGGCAGGAAGCACAAAGGGGAAGCGUAGAGCGGCUCUGACUCAGUUCUUAUCACAGUUCUUCAGAGACACGCAACUGUGUGGUGUUCGUCUCCACGCAGCUGGACGGACCGACGUCAGAACCGGGGAUUGAUCUGGACUCAGGCCCACUUCUGAUUAUUGCUGUGCAUUAAUGCGGCUCAAUUAGUAGAGCCUUUAAACGAUGUUAGAAGCGUCUUUGGGAUCUGUGGGAAUCAUUUUAUGAUUCUCACCAUCAGCGGCCUACAUGUCCUGUCAGCUGCUCCUCAGUGUAACUGCAUCCAAAACCAACCCUGUAAAGCUCAAAUAGUAACGAGUCAUUAAUGACAGAAGUAAACUUCUAAUGAAGCGUUUUAGCAGCAGGCUCUGUGUUCUGGAUAAACAGUCACCUUUAAAAGUGUCAAAAUCGCCUUUGAAUGAAUCAACACGCAGACGCUGAACGUGGGUUGCAAAACGGCAGCCUGUGAAACCUUUAGCCCACAUACAAAGUGCACGGUGCAAGGGUUGCAUGCGUGUUGCUGCAGAGCGUGCUCAGCCUGCCAUCCAUUUUUAUCUCCCUCCCUGUGGUCACAGCUGUGACUGCACAGAGGAGGGGCUGCAGUCACUGCGUGGCUUUAAGGAGCCUCUGAUGUUUGCAACGACGGGAGGAGGAGGUGGAGGAAAGGAUGAACAUGGGCCAAAGUGAGACGGGAAACAGAGGAUCGGACGUCUGAGCAACAGUCCAAGAUUGUAGAAGCUGAAACCAACAAGAAAUUGGGGAAGCUGUGACACGGUUUCUGGGCCAGGCCACGCCCCCUCCAACCACGCUACAUAAGCACCAGCGCCUAAAAUAGAGACUUUAUUCACCUGCUGUCACUCUAUUAGAUCAGUUCCUGCCGGUUAUGAACACUCUCACCUUUUCUGACUUUGUAUACUGAAUCACAGUUUGACUGAUACUUUGCACUUCUUGCAAGUUUUAUAUGAAUUCAGGGGAAUUUACCUAAUCUGAGGUAAGAUCAGUAUUUCCCCUGAAGCGAACUGAGGAACGUCUGUCAUGUGGGAGGAAAGACGUUGCCUAGUUUCCCUUCACCUUGUUGCUCUGUGACGGAUGUGAACCAGGAGCUGGGUUCCAUAAAUACACGGAGCCACCAGCCUCGUACUGUACAAGUAUCACGUACUGAACAAUGCGCAUGUCACUGAAACAGCAGACCUGUUGUUUUACUGGUCUUCACACUUAUCAGUGUCACAACUCUAACACAUUAAUGUGGCCUGAACAUUGGACAGAUUGUUCUGUAGCAGCCUUUAAUUUUUAGCGCCAGAUCAGAUCAGACCCUGCAGAAUGACUGAGUGACUUAAUCAACAAGACAUAUCAACACAAGGGCCGUGUUCAACGCCGCCCUAUCAACACAAAUGGAUAAUCAAGAAUACACACACACACACACACACAAGGGCGAUUGCAGCUAUAAAGGCAGUCACAAGGCACCUGCCACACAGAGUUGAACAGUUUCUGCAGUUUAACACACACUUUCUGUUUCUCUUUUUGAAACCCUCAUCUUCUUUUCCCGCUGUUUCAGAAUAGAGGUUGCUCAUGAGCUUUACAGUCCAUGACAUGCAGUAGAGCGAGACCCUCCUCCUGGUGAUUCCCCUCCAUGCUUGACCUUACACUCCUAUCCUAUACCAGAAGUAUCCUGUGGAGGCACAAGGUAGAGUUCCAUAUGCAGAUUUUCAAGACUGGACUCAUUUGAACUAGUUUGGAGGCUAACUAUGGUUUGCUAUUCAGGUAUCAAGUCUUUAAUGCUAAAAAUCUGUCAGAAGCCACAAGAAUGUUUAAAGUGGCUGAUUAAAUCAAAGGGAGCCGGUUGCUGAUGUGGCCUCAUGCCGGCAUCAUUAAUGUUUGCUGUUUUCUGGUUUCCAGCCAGAAUAGUCACGUGGGCCUUCUGCUCCGAUUUCAGGGAAUUCAACUAAAUGUCAUUAAUAAAAAAGACUCACACCAAACGUGUGGUCA
rnacentral:lncRNA from 1 species